GGCAUAAUGAAGCAGUUUUAGUGUAUAGAUCAUACCUCUCAGGUUUCACUGCACAAUUCUCUGCAAUUUAGGAGUUAAAUCAAUUUGUUUCUGUUUAUGCAGCCCUUGCAACACCUCCCCUGGAUCUGAUUGACAGAGCCAGCAUGAAAAAAAUGGUUUUACUUUCAAUCAGAUGUAAUUUACCUUAAACAAUUGUAUCUCUUGCUCUGUAAAUUGAACUUCAAUCACAUACAAGAGGCUCUUGCAGGGUCUAGCAAACUAUUAAUAUAGCAGGGGAUAAGAAAAUCUAAAUUAAACAGAACUUGCAAUAAAGGAUGGAUAAACAUUAGAUGACUCUUUACAGGAAGUGUUUAUGAAGGCUGUGCAAGUCACAUGCAGGGAGGUGUGACUAGACUCCAUAAACAAAGUGAUUUAACUCCUUAAAGGCAGAGAACUGAGUAGUGAGACUGCAGGAGCAUGAUCUAUACACCAAAACAGUUUCAUUAAGCUAAGGUUGUUUUGGUGACUAUAGUGUCCUUUUAUAGUGUCCCUUUAAAUAUUUGAAAUGACUUACCUCCUGACGUCUAUGAGAAUUUUUUAGGUAAUUAAAUGGAAAUGUUUUUCCAACACAUUGUAUCAUUUCAAGGCUGGCCCAUAUGAAUGAAAUUUAGGCUUUAGAAAAGUUCUCUAGUAGAUAUUAAUUUCAGCUAAUUUGAAUACAUUUUGAGAGAUGGCAGAGAUGUUUCUUAGGAGGACAUCAAGGUUUGAGAUAGAUAUAUAUAUUUACUAAAACAUGAAUAUAAAACAUGAAUAUAAAGAAGACCCAUAUUCAUCAGUGUUAAUUGUUUUCAACUAACAAUUUUACUCAAAUUUUAGUCGACUAAUACUAAAACAAUUGAGAUGACUAAAAUACCACUAAAACUAAAAGACUAUGACUAAAAUUAGAUUACAUUUUGCCGCCAAUAUUAACACUGCGCAGAGGAGCUGUGGAAACGGCAAAAGAGACAGACCAGGACUUGGGAGAGAGACACUUAGAAGGAGAACACAAAGAGACACAGAGGAGCUGGGGAAGGGGCAUAUAGAGUUAGACAUAGAGAUAGACAGAUAGAGGCUUUAACUAAACCCAUUCAAUCUUAGUCUACUGGAGAUUUAGUCGACUAAAACAAUUCAGAUGACUAAAAUACGACUAAAACUAAAAUGACUUUUUAGUCAAAAGACUAUGACUAAAACUAAAUUCAAAUUUGCCUCUAAAAUUAUCACUGAUUCACAUAUGUCAUUGUAAGAUGCUGUGAUAUUGUAUCAAUCAUAGGUUUCAGAGUCUGACACAAGGGGAUUCAGGGAUAAACUCAACAUUUUAUGGGAGGGAAACCACCAAUCCUUGAUUGGAUAUUCAGAUACAGUCUUCAAAACAUCACAUCUACCCUAAUCUCAUAUAUGGGAAAUAAUGUACUAACUGGGGGAAGUCUAUAGAGAAAUCUUUAGAAUACCAGUAGAGUUCCAGUAUGUAUCACAACCUUAGAGACAAGAGAACAGAUAAGGUGAGGUCCUUGUGUCUUCCAAUAAAAGGGACUGACCCUGUCUGCAAAAACAAUAGUAAAUGUUCCCAAAGGGAACCAAAGUAUUGGAAUGACACUCCUGUAUAGAGUUGUAAACUAAUUAGAUCAAGUCCCCCAUGUGCCGAAUUAAAGUGUGAUAAAGGAAGAUAACACUACAUAAUACUAUGCCACAGCUAAUCCAAUUGCUUAAUUAUGAAAAAUACCUUUAUUAUUGCUAAGAUUGCGUGUUAUAUCUACUAAUUGUUAAAAAGUAAUAACAGGGAAAGUGGGGAAAUAAUUUAAACAGUACAAGAGGAGGGGUAUCAUGCUAAUCCUCCGAGCCACUUAUGUAAAGACUAAGGGUAAGUCCUCCCUAAAAAAAUCUCAUAGUGACCUCAACUCAAAUCAUAGUAGGGUCUAUAGUAUAUAUAUCUGCUGGAUAGGGGAUUAGAAUAACCCUUAUAAGCAGGCUUGAAAGUGGCU